rnacentral:rRNA from 1 species
UACGUAGGGGGCAAGCGUUGUCCGGAAUCAUUGGGCGUAAAGAGCGUGUAGGCGGCUGGGUAGGUCCGUUGUGAAAACUCGAGGCUCAACCUCGAGACGCCGAUGGAAACCCUCCAGCUAGAGUCCGGAAGAGGAGAGUGGAAUUCCUGGUGUAGCGGUGAAAUGCGCAGAUAUCAGGAAGAACACCCGUGGCUAAGGCGGCUCUCUAGUACGGUACUGACGCUGAGGAGCGAAAGCAUGGGGAGCGAACAGG